UUUUUUAUCCCUAAUUUUUGCCCGAACCUUUUUUCAUUUUUUUCGGUUCGCCGGGACGCCCUUUUUUGCCUGGACUAUUUUAUUCUUUUCGUCCAGCGGGUCUCUCAUACGAAGUAUUUUUUAACUGCGUCCGCAUUCACAGGGGAUGGAAAGUCCUCACCAUCCAUGGUCGUCAACAACAAGGCUCCGCCAGAGAAAACCUUCUUGACCACGAAUGGACCUUCA
rnacentral:lncRNA from 1 species